GGCGAACGCUGGCGGCGUGCUUAACACAUGCAAGUCGAACGGAAAGGCCCUGCUUUUGUGGGGUGCUCGAGUGGCGAACGGGUGAGUAACACGUGAGUAACCUGCCCUUGACUUUGGGAUAACUUCAGGAAACUGGGGCUAAUACCGGAUAGGAGCUCCUGCUGCAUGGUGGGGGUUGGAAAGUUUCGGCGGUUGGGGAUGGACUCGCGGCUUAUCAGCUUGUUGGUGGGGUAGUGGCUUACCAAGGCUUUGACGGGUAGCCGGCCUGAGAGGGUGACCGGCCACAUUGGGACUGAGAUACGGCCCAGACUCCUACGGGAGGCAGCAGUGGGGAAUAUUGCACAAUGGGCGGAAGCCUGAUGCAGCAACGCCGCGUGCGGGAUGACGGCCUUCGGGUUGGAAACCGCUUUCGCCUGUGACGAAGCGUGAGUGACGGUAAUGGGUAAAGAAGCACCGGCUAACUACGU
rnacentral:rRNA from 1 species